rnacentral:rRNA from 1 species
ACGAACGCUGGCGGCGUGCUUAACACAUGCAAGUCGAACGGAAAGGCCCUGCUUUUGUGGGGUGCUCGAGUGGCGAACGGGUGAGUAACACGUGAGUAACCUGCCCUUGACUUUGGGAUAACUUCAGGAAACUGGGGCUAAUACCGGAUAGGAGCUCCUGCUGCCUGGUGGGGGUUGGAAAGUUUCGGCGGCUGGGGAUGGACUCGCGGCUUAUCAGCUUGUUGGUGGGGUAGUGGCUUACCAAGGCUUUGACGGGUAGCCGGCCUGAGAGGGUGACCGGCCACAUUGGGACUGAGAUACGGCCCAGACUCCUACGGGAGGCAGCAGUGGGGAAUAUUGCACAAUGGGCGGAAGCCUGAUGCAGCAACGCCGCGUGCGGGAUGACGGCCUUCGGGUUGUAAACCGCUUUCGCCUGUGACGAAGCGUGAGUGACGGUAAUGGGUAAAGAAGCACCGGCUAACUACGUG